rnacentral:rRNA from 1 species
UUGGGUACUCUAUUGAGACUGCCGCUGACAAGGCGGAGGAAGGUGGGGACGACGUCAAGUCAUCAUGGCCCUUACGACCAGGGCUACACACGUGCUACAAUGGGUAUUACAGAGGGCUGCGAAGGUGCGAGCUGGAGCGAAACUCAAAAAGGUACUCUUAGUCCGGAUUGCAGUCUGCAACUCGACUGCAUGAAGUCGGAAUCGCUAGUAAUCGCAGGUCAGAAUACUGCGGUGAAUACGUUCCCGGGU